GAGAGGGGAGGCGCCAAGCCAGCCGGCUGACAGAUCAGGGAGAGAAGCUGGUCAAUCACCGGCAGCCCGCUGCCCACCGACCCCACAACGGAGCCGAGAAAAAGGCGUGUCUCAUUCUGUGUGUGCUGCGGUGGGCUGCCUGUUGCUCUAGGGGAGCCGGGACAGGCCGAUUUGGCAGCGCCUCCUUGCCAUUCCUUACUCCAGCUGUGUGUUAUUGUGCCUCCUACAUUCCUCCGCUCUCGGGGACGCGUCGCCGCUCCGCUCCCUCCCUCACAGCCGCCUAUUGAGCUGCCCCGCCGGGUAGACUGCCUGGCGCCACACAUGGGGAGCUCAUCCAUUCACACCCAGCUCCUCUCCUCUCCUCUCCUCUCCUCUCCUUUCUUUCUUUCUUUCUUUCUUUCUUUCUUUCUUGUCAGACAGGUUGCCAAGACAACAUGGAAGCUACACUCAGCUUCAGUUCAGCCUGAAUCCUUAGUGUUUUCCAUCCAGGAUGCAUAGGGGGGCCCUGAGGUCUGAGUCUAGUGGGGAUGACACCCACCUCAGUGCCUCUUUGGAGGUUUAAUGUCCCAAACUUUAUGGGAACCACCACAGUCUCUUCUGUCAUGAAUAUUGAAAGGCUUAAAUGGCUUUAAAUGGGUAUUUUCCUCUUCUCGCUGUGUCUCUGUCUUUCUCCCUCUGUCUCUCUCUUUCUCUGUUUUCUGUUGCCAUGGGAAGUGACUGUUCUGCUCAGUAAUGUGUGCAACAAUGUUUGGUUCAGGGACAACUUCAAAGGGGUCAGUGGUAUGAAUCUUUGAUGGUACCCUUUCCACUAGCAACAUGGUGCAUGAACUCUCGCCCAUGACAAGCAGAUGACGGACUAGGUCUGAGAGAAAAACACUGUCCAGUUUAGCCAUAGCAAUGACUCACAAAUGCUUCCACUUUGACCAUGUAUGUCUAUAAUAAAACAGAAAGUUGGAGAUUCUACACAGUCUGAAUUUCAAGCUCGUUGGCUCUCUUUCUGGAGGCUAAUGGGUUGAAAAAACUUGCUGCCAAGAAUAGUUUUCCAUAUAAAAUAAUUCAUUUGUAGAUUCCACAGAAAUGCUUCAAAACAGGCAAAACCAAACCAAAGACUGUAACGAGGAAUACAGCAAAGUGUAUUUGCAUCCACCUGUUUUGGAAAUAAAAAUUAAUUACAUAUGAUGUGUAAUAUAUACAUAUAUAAAGUUUUUACGCUUGGCAGAGGUGGAAAAGUUGUGACAAGUUGUGUAUAAAUAAAAACAGAAUGUGCUAAAAUGCAAUGGAAACAGACGUAGCAAAUAAAUGAUUACGUACAGGAA